CAAACUUGAGAGUUUGAUCCUGGCUCAGAACGAACGCUGGCGGCAUGCCUAACACAUGCAAGUCGAACGCCCUCUUUUAGAGGGAGUGGCGCACGGGUGCGUAACGCGUGGGAACCUGCCCUUAGGUUCGGAAUAACUCAGAGAAAUUUGAGCUAAUACCGGAUAAUGUCUUCGGACCAAAGAU
rnacentral:rRNA from 1 species